GCUUUUCACCAAAAGUACUUUAGAAAUCAAGAGGAGGAAACGGUAUUUGCACACAAGGUGUGUAGAAAUCCUUCAUUUUGCAGAGUUGGCUUCAGUACAUGUUGAUACCAUAUAACUCUAAACCCUACAUGAUUCUAAUGCUUUCCUGUGAGUGACCUAAGUUGAAAAACUGAAGUCAUUUACCAGUAUAGCUUAUUCUUUAUCCAGGUCCCUUCUUCCCUGCAUUUGGCUGGGUGUCCCUGAAGGUCACGCUGAUGUCUAGGUCAGGGGGGCAGCAUGCCUUCUCCUGGGGAACCAGGCCAUCUGUGGCCAUUUCUUUAGGGCCUGGAUUCUGACGAUGGCACCUGAUGUGACUCCCACUUACUUUGAAUGGAGACAGGCUUCUCCAGAAAAGAACCUUCUCUCAGCUUCAUCUGCAGAACUGGGCUGCCUUUACCUUUCCUAAGCAGAUUACAGAUAUAAGAUACUGAAAAAAAGAUUCAGAAAUGGGGACCACA